AGGUUCAUUCAACUAAAGUACUCACUGUGUGCCAGGCUCUGCUGGACUUGGGGAGGCUGAGGCCAAUCAGACCUGCUCUAGAAGGGCUCAUGAACAAUCAGCGGUGUUGAUAGCCUUGGAGCGCUUUUGGCAAACUUGCUGAACUUCCAGGAACUACCCUCCCAACCAGAGGCCAGCAGAGGAGCCUGGGUUGGGUGGGGCUGAAUGACCUGCUGCCUGAGUCACUCAGCACCGAGAUGGAUCCACUGGCCACCCAACCUGGAGCCUGAGAGCAGCCACUUGUGCAGACAGCCUGGGUCUGGGAGGCCCAGCUCCAUCACUAGCAAUCUGUGCAAAACUCUUCUCAUCAUCUGAGGCCAGUUUCUGCUCAAGGGCCAUGACUCAGAGCCAUCUCUGGGCACCAGCCCUGACACCUGAGUCAGUCUGACCCUGUGGCAGUGGGUCUGCCCCUGCAGCCAUCCCCAAGCCCUGAGGCAGUCUGGAGGGUGAUUGGGCUAUUCUGACACCUGGGACCAGCCCUCCAGCCUGCCACCUAAGUCCCAGGCAGGGUGGGAGGCCCAAGGCUCCUGGACAUGCCUCAUCUCUUUGGUAUCACAAGAGCACUGUGAGGAUUCAUUUCCCAGUGACCACUCCACUAUCAGAUGGAAAAGGGCACCCUCUGGAAACUCCUCCAUCCCUGGAAGAUGAUGGCUGCAAGGUGGGUGCAGGAGGGGUCAUUCAGACAAGGCCCUAAGUUAUCCUUGUCUCUCUCCUGCCCGUGGAUGGUCCUUGGCUGCUGCUUGGAAGCAUAUCCUGGAGCCUUUAAGAGCAGAAGGAUGAGGGGUGAGGAAGGUGGUGCUGGUUGAAGUGGUCCUCUCCUCCUGGCCUGCACAGUCAGUGAGGAGGCAGCCUUCUCUCCUGGCCUAAUCCUGGCUGGUUACUCACGACGUACAGGUGGGUUUGCUUGUCCUGGAGGCUCUGCAAAGCUGCCAUCAUCUUCAUCGGGCUUUUCUUCUUGACUCUGGCUACUGGAGGUCCCCUGCCUUUUUUUCUAGGCACAGGGACUGAGUUACCAUUUGAGGACUCACCAGCUUCCUCUGUGGGCAACUGAUAUGAAAGGAAUGCAGGUCGAGUUUCUAGAAUGUGCUGUCUUUGUCCUCCAUCUCGGCACCUUGGUAGCACUCGAGAAAAAAUGGAAACCAUUAAUUUCUGUGGUAGCAGAUAACCCCAGUAAGUUGCAGAAUUUGGUCAUUCCCACAAGAAUGUUUGACAGAAUUGCUUGGGAGGGAGGGUAGCCAUCAGACUGGAAGCGUCUGGAAGAAUUUCAUGGAUACACCUGAGAAGACCCUCGAGGACAGGUGGGGUCCGCAGGUGCAGUGGAAGGCAGGCCACCUCUGUGGCUAUAGCCUGAGAACAAGUUGCGUUCCCGGAGUGGCUGGUUGUUCCAUUUGGAGCCACAGCCAAGGUGUAGAGAUGUUGGAAUGAGCAUCCUGAUCUUGCACUUCUUGUGCAGUGACAUGCGGGAAGCAGACAAAGAAUGAACACUGUGGGAUAAAACGGGGUCUGGGUGCCAAUUGUGGGCAGCAUCAGUGCCAGGGUCAGAAGGAGUCAGAAGGCGGCCUCUCCUAAGUUCUCUGCUCAUGGGAAGCCAGCUGAGAUCUCUGAGGCUGUUGGGCCUUUUACUUUAGGAAAAUUAAUUAAAAGUCCGUACUUUGUCUCUUCUGGUUAACUUGAAUUCCUUGUGGAGAGGACUUAGCUGAGAUGACUCCACCUGGAAUUCUUAGCUCUUGGGCCUCAGCACGGUUUCCUCUUCAACAAUUAUUCUUUCCACAUCUUGGAAUUUAGAAGGUGUCAAGAUGUGACACU
rnacentral:lncRNA from 13 species